rnacentral:lncRNA from 1 species
ACUCUCUUGGUGGGACAAUCUCUCGUAUCGAGCGGGGCGAAUAAAAUCGUGAGCAGACUAUCCGAUGUCGAGGCCUCGAACGGGCCGUACUCGUACGUGAUGGAGAAGAGUCAGCUGUCUUUGUACUACAAGCCUGCGAAUGUCAAAACUCCCAUACUCUAUGACCAAACUGUGUUCGGCACUGGCAAAGACACAUUGACGAAAAUCCAGUUUACAAUCGACCCGUUCACGAAUAUAGAGAGCGACACCGUUUGGGCUAAUGAGUUCCACCUCGAGUCCUUCAUGAACAACUCGACCGAAUCCAGUGGCUCGGC